UGUUAGUGGAUCAUGGUUUCCACAAAAACAUUAAGCAGCAAAAUUUAUUCAAGAUUAUAACAAAUGUUAUUUGUAUACCAAAUCAGCACAUCAGAAGGAUUUCUGAAGGAUCACGUGACACUUUAAACGGGAGUAUUGAUGCUGAUAUGCAGCGUUGUUAUUACAAGAAUAAAUUAAAUGACAAAAUAUUUUAAAAUAGAAAGCAGUUCUUUUAAACUGUAAUAAUAUUCCACAAUUGUAUUAUUUUCAGUAAUUAAAUGCAGCCGAGCAAGUCUUCAAAAAGCAAGAAAUCUUAAUUACUCCAUACUUUUGACCGCAUGCGUGUAGAAUAUUGUGGUUCAAAGCCCAUCUGAAAUUCAAAUACUCCCGAUGGCUUUGCCUUGAUGAGAAAAAAAAUUCCAGUUUCCAUCUGUGUCCAAUGGCAUUCCCAACAAGGGCCCUUUUAUCACUUUUGAAAUUAUACCUGAUAAAUGUCUUGGUAAUUCUCAAUAUUUCCACGGCGGCUGGUGCAUUUGUCAUCAUUGAAGUCAGUGGCAGAGUAUCUCACAGAUGGGAACUCCUCACGGGUGGCAUUGAAGUACGAGCCGCAGGUCGAGUGCCUCCUCUCCCCUCCGCCCGACUCACGUGUGUGAUUGAUGACAACGUCUGUGUAGAUUUUCACCUGCAGGAGCCGCAUCGGUUCAUUACCAUGAGCCCACAGCACAACACUGCCUACCAGGACACAUCAAAGGACAUUGCUGUGCUUUCCUAUCUACAGUGGGAACGCAAUGAGGGUAUCAAAGGGCUUUAGAGCUGUAAUACAGGGAGAACAUUUUUAAUGAGGAGAUCUGAAUUUAGAUGAAUAAAAUUCAGUCAGGGACCUCACUUGGGCAAGACCACUGGGAAUAUUAUCACAUUCCCAUAGGGAAAAGGGGUCCAAUCUCGAAAAUGUGUUUCUGUUUAAACCAAUAUGUCUUUGUUUUUAAUCUACUUCUAAGGUGGUUUAGGUGAGCAAUGUUGCUACAGGGCAACCCUAAGGCAGGGUUUAGUCUAGGCUAUAUAUAAGGUGGUCAAUAUUAUUGAACAGAAUUUGCACUCACAGAUACAUGAAAGUCACAUUUAAGUUUAUAGAAAAUGCAUUUUCAUAUUAAGAAGCACGUAGACCAAACUGAGCGUUUAUAAUCUGUCACUGAGAUAAUGCCCGCGUCUCGUGUUAAUAUUAUCGCAUUGAUUGGCUGAUUCCCCCGUCUAUCAAAAUGUCUUUACUCUGAUUGGCUAAUUGGCGUGUCAAAGCGCGUCUUUCGCCCACAAUCGGUCUUCCUGGUUCCUGGUUGUGAGCGAUUGUUGAAAAUUGACGUUCUACAGCACGCAUCGCCUAGGUAUUACUAAUUUAGGUUAGAUACAAAAAUAAACUUGUGACCAUUUAACUCAACAGGUAAACUUUAUCUUGCCGCUUCUAUGACAAUCAAGUUUCUCAAACUGAGGUUUUGUUGACCUUUAGACCGAGAUUAGCAUUACAGCUAUUAGCGAUUAAAAUCUACAAAACACUCGUCCACGUUUGUUUGUAAGUAAAAUAGCUUAUACUAUAUCAAACAUAUAUGUAUAACAAUACAUAUUGUGUCAAAGCACUGAACAGUAUCAAAUGGAGAAUAGAGUGUCAGUAAUUUAUAAUGACAAGAUUAAACAAUACAUUUUCAGCUAAAGGUAUUUUUAUUAUUGUAUGUAUAGAGGUCAUUGUCUAAAUCAGCUCAGUUAUGUUACCCUGGACCCCUGGUCAACUUUUGAAAGUUUUUGGUAGAGAAAAAUGCAAUUGAAUUUGAAUUUGAAUUUGAAAAUAUAUUCAUGUAACGCAAUAUUUCCUAAAGAUUAUUGGCAUAAACGAAAAAUCGAUAAUUUUGACCCAUAAAAUGUAUUGUUGACUAUUGUUAUAAAUACACAAUGCUACUUAAGGGUCACAUAUAUUAUAAAAUGCUCAAGUCGUUAACCCAACCCAUAAUCUAACCCAAAAAAUCUGGAAAAACCAAAAGAAAUAUUCCAAAACCCUUUUUGACCUGCUGGUGAACUGUCUGGACCAGCCUGAAACAAUGCUGUUGUGAUCCAUAUGCUAAAUAUUGACCCACUUUACGUCACAUCAUAACUUUUUGUUUUACCCCUCACAUGGCUUUUUGUGAGUCAAACGUAGGUUCUUUUUGUUCUUAGGACCAGGGGUGAGAGCUGGAGAUUGAUGCCUUGUGACACAGCCCUGGUGUUUCUGAAUAACCAUGACAACCGAAGAGGUCAUGGGGCAGUCGGGGCAUCCGUCCACCCGGUCUAGGGACCUAGGUAGGAGCUGUCCUGUCUGAGACUAAAGCACACUGACUGUUUCAGCAGGAGCCAAACAAACAUCAUGAAUGAUGACUCUUGUCUGCUCUCAUGGUCUUCAAAAUGUACAAAAUGACUGUGGCCCAUCCCUACGGAAAGGGUCACGUCAAGCUGCUGCUGGGACCGGUAUGUUGUGAAAGGAAAGGUGGAUUGCAGUGACGUAAAGCACCAGAGAGUCAGCGGGAAGCAGAAGAUGAGUGUUAUGAUGCCCCACGAAGGACAAAACUUGCUCGCUCCAAGAGUUAAUGUGUCAAUGCCAAGGGCCGUUGGGGUGGACAGUGAUCAGAAUGUGUAAGAACGGCUCCCUCUGAGACUCUUUGUGACUAAUACAUCUACCCUCCUUCGCUGAAUGCCAAACAGGACCGACACGACUGCGGUGGGGUUCUUGCCCAGCUCAGGUGGGAGGUUUUCUCAAAAGGAUGCCGGAGAGAUUGCAUCUAGCAUACCAAUGAAAGUGUGCGAGCAUGUCUGUGUGUGUGAGACAACUAUCAGAAAAUCACACGAGGAGUGGAGUCCUAUGGAAGAGCAGAGGGAACCUGUAAGCUCUGGUGAGAAGUGACGAACUUGGAAGUGCAGAGGAGAGAGCAAAACAAAACACUGGUUAUGGAACAGAAGUGGAAUGAGGAUUUGUGAAUGUUGGAGGAAUUCGAUAUAACCCAAGAGAAGACCAGUUUGCUGUAAACAAAACUCGGUUCUCGCAUAUUUUCACACUACGCCUAUGUUAUCUGCUGGAAAGAUGUUAUUGGUAAGACUUUUUUUUGAUGGUCAAUUUGGAUCAUUCUGUUGACACUAAGUAACAUUUCUAAUACAUGUCAACAAACUCAUUAGUACACUGUAAUAUUUAGUAUUAGUACACUGUCUGCUUCAUAUUCUGUAUUGCCAAAAGUAUUCACUCACCCAUCCAAAUAAUAGGAAUCAGGUGUACAAUUAAUUCCAUGACCACAGGUAUAUAAAAUCAAGCACCUAGACAUGCAGACUGUUUUUUCAAACAUUUGUGAAAGAAUGGGUCACUCCCAAGAGCUCAGUGAGUUCCAGCAGAACUGUGAUGGGAUGCCACCUGUGCAACAAAUUCAGUAAAAUUUCCUUGCUCCUAUAUAUUCCACAGUCAACUGUCAGCUAUAUUAUAAGAACAUGAAAGCGUUUGGGGACAACAGCAUCUCAGCCAUGAAGUGGUAGGCCACUUAAACUUAUGGAGUGGAUGCUGAGGCGAAUUGUGUAAGGAAGUCGCCAACUUUCUGCAGAGUCAAUCGCUACAGAUUUCCAAACUUCAUGUGGCUUUCAGAUUAGCUUAAGAACAGUGCACAGAGAGGUUCAUGCAAUGGGUUUCCAUGGCCGAGCAGCUGCAUCCAAGCCAUACAUCACCAAGUGCAAUGCAAAGCAUCGGAUGCAGUGGUGUAAAGCACACCACCACUGGACUCUAGAGCAGUGGAGACGCAUUUCUGGAGUGACAAAUUGCGCUUCUCCAUCUGGCAAUCUGAUGGACGAGUCAGGGUUUUGCGUUUGCCAGGAGAUUGGUACUUGUCUGACUGCAUUGUGCCAAGUGUAAAGUUUGGUGGAGUGGGGAUUAUGGCGUGGGGUUGUUUUUCAGAAGUUGGGUUGCCCCCCUUAGUUCCAGUAAAAGGAACUUUGAAUGCUUCAGCAUACUGAGACAUUUCGGACAAUUCCAUGCUCCCAACUUAGUGAGAACAGUUUGGAGCUGACCCCUUCCUCUUCCAACAUAACUGCACCAGUGCACAAAGCAAGGUCCAUAAAGACAUGGACGACAGAGCCUGGUGUGGAUGAACUUGACUAGCCUGCACAAAGAUCUGACCUCAAACACCUUUGGGAUGAAUUAAAGCGGAGACUGAGAGCCAGGCCUUCUCGUUCAAAAUAAGUAUGUAACCUCACAAAUGCGCUUCUGGAAGAAUGGUCAAAAAUUCCCAUAAUCACACUCCUAAACCUUGUGGACAGAAGAGUUGUUAUAUCUGCAAAGGGAGGACCAACGUCAUAUUGAACCCUAUGGAUUAGGAUUGGGAUGUAACUUAAAUUCAUAUGGGAGUCAAGGCAGGUGAACGAAUACUUUUGGCAAUAUAGUGUAUCUGCUAACUCUUUAUUGUGAUGUUAUUGUCUCCCAACUGACAUUCUACCGACUAUAAGUAACUUUGCAAAUACAUGUCAACUUAUUCUUACCUUAACCAUACUAGUCAACUAGUACACUACUGACACUCUGAUGAGAGUUAGUAGAAUUGCAACAUUACUUGUAGUCAACAGAAAGUGUUAAAGGGACCAUCAAAAUAAAAUGAAACCAAAUUGUUUAUUUUUAUUCAGUUUUUUUUUGUAGUGCCAUGCAAAUUACAUAGAUAGCAAUGUAUAUUAUUACAUUUUGUAUGAUAAAAUGCUGGAUUGUGGAGCAAAAAACCACUGUGUUAGCUUACUGCCAUGUUAAAAAAGGCCCUUUAAAAUAAAGCAGAAUCA